GGGGGCUUAGCUUAGCGGGAGAGCGUUGGCUUCGCAUGCCAAAGGCCAGGGGUUCAAAUCCCCUAGCCUCCA
rnacentral:tRNA from 1 species